rnacentral:rRNA from 1 species
CUAGCUGUAAACGAUGGAUACUAGGCGUUGAGAGUAUCGACCCUCUCAGUGUCGCAGCUAACGCGUUAAGUAUCCCGCCUGGGGAGUACGCGCGCAAGCGUGAAACUCAAAGGAAUUGACGGGGGCCCGCACAAGCGGUGGAGUAUGUGGUUUAAUUCGAUGCAACGCGAAGAACCUUACCAGGGCUUGACAUGUCCGGAACCCUGCCCAAAGGCGGGGGUGCCUACGGGAACCGGAACACAGGUGGUGC